CCCGCCUUAGCUCAGUGGUCAGAGCGGUAGACUGUAGAUCUAUGCGUCGCUGGUUCGAAUCCUGCAGGCGGGA